GUUCUGUGAAUCACACUUUGGGAAGGUUAUAAAUGAGAUGAAAAUGACAGGAAGUUUCUUUAGAAAAUGUAUAAAAUGUAUUUGAAUGAAGAGCGGGAGGAGGAACGGCUGCUCUGGGAGCCUCUUGUGGCUGAGUGUGCCAGGAACGCACCCAACAGGAGCAUGACAAUAUCUGCUGAAAGAAUGAAUAAAUGAAUAUUUCCAAAUGCCUGCAGGACUUCCGUGAGAUGACUCUUACUGCCAUUUCCACAGGCUCAAAAACAACUGUCCUUCUUUUUCAUUCUGUGUGUGCAUUUUAUAUCUAGGCUGUUGAUUGGAAUAGAAAUAAAAAGGGCUGCGGAUAUGAA
rnacentral:lncRNA from 1 species